rnacentral:rRNA from 1 species
UGGGGAAUAUUGGACAAUGGGCGAAAGCCUGAUCCAGCCAUGCCGCGUGUGUGAAGAAGGUCUUCGGAUUGUAAAGCACUUUAAGUUGGGAGGAAGGGCAUUAACCUAAUACGUUAGUGUUUUGACGUUACCGACAGAAUAAGCACCGGCUAACUCUGUGCCAGCAGCCGCGGUAAUACAGAGGGUGCAAGCGUUAAUCGGAAUUACUGGGCGUAAAGCGCGCGUAGGUGGUUUGUUAAGUUGGAUGUGAAAUCCCCGUGCUCAACCUGGGAACUGCAUUCAAAACUGACUGACUAGAGUAUGGUAGAGGGUGGUGGAAUUUCCUGUGUAGCGGUGAAAUGCGUAGAUAUAGGAAGGAACACCAGUGGCGAAGGCGACCACCUGGACUAAUACUGACACUGAGGUGCGAAAGCGUGGGGAGCAAACA